rnacentral:rRNA from 1 species
UAGGGAAUCUUCGGCAAUGGACGGAAGUCUGACCGAGCAACGCCGCGUGAGUGAAGAAGGUUUUCGGAUCGUAAAGCUCUGUUGUUAGAGAAGAACGUUGGUAGGAGUGGAAAAUCUACCAAGUGACGGUAACUAACCAGAAAGGGACGGCUAACUACGUGCCAGCAGCCGCGGUAAUACGUAGGUCCCGAGCGUUGUCCGGAUUUAUUGGGCGUAAAGCGAGCGCAGGCGGUUCUUUAAGUCUGAAGUUAAAGGCAGUGGCUUAACCAUUGUACGCUUUGGAAACUGGAGGACUUGAGUGCAGAAGGGGAGAGUGGAAUUCCAUGUGUAGCGGUGAAAUGCGUAGAUAUAUGGAGGAACACCGGUGGCGAAAGCGGCUCUCUGGUCUGUAACUGACGCUGAGGCUCGAAAGCGUGGGAAGCAAACAGGAUUAGAUACCCUGGUAGUCCACGCCGUAAACGAUGAGUGCUAGGUGUUAGGCCCUUUCCGGGGCUUAGUGCCGCAGCUAACGCAUUAAGCACUCCGCCUGGGGAGUACGACCGCAAGGUUG